rnacentral:lncRNA from 1 species
AUGCUACUGCAGGAUCAACCAGGUAGCCGCGCUCCAUGGGGAACGGAAGACGCGGGGGCCCUCCCCGUGGGGGGUGGGGGACAAACCCCCGGCGCCCAGCGGGCCCACCACCGCCUUCCCCCGGGAAGGGGAAGAGCGGGGCCCGCGACGCGGCUACUCGCUCUCGAGAGGGACCGACGGGGAUGGCGAUCCCCCCCAAAAUCGGACCCGGGCCACCCGACGAACGGACGGACGUCAGGCGGGGACGGAAGGGCUGAGGGCCCUCGGGACCCCAGCGAGAGUCCCUUUUGCCGGCUCCCUCAGCAGCGGUGGACAGCAGAGGGGGAAAACGCCACUGGCAGAGUGCUCCGGGAGCCGCCGAGGAAGGACGGCGGAAGAGAUGGGGUGAGCCUCCAAAGAGAGCCCCCCUUCCCCCCGCUUUCCCAGGCGGCCCGGGUCACACAGCGCAGCAGGGUGGAAACCCCAGCCGCCCCCGCCAGGCGGGCUUUUCGCCAGUGGAGCGCUCUGGGAGCCUUCGGGGAAGGAUGGCGGAAGAGACAGGGUGAGCCUCCGAAGAGAGCCCCCCAUCCCCCCGCUUUCCCAGGCGGCCCUGGUGAUGUGUCGCCGGAGCAAAGCCCACCCGUGUGGGAAGGAGAGCGAGACAGGGCGAGGGCGCCGCCGAAAUGACCCGGCACCUGCCUACUACCGCUCUCUCCCCGCAUUCCACGGUGCUCCGGGUGACAGCCGGGAAAGCCUGCGGCAGCGAGGGCGGGGACGGGCCCCCUGAUGCUGCUUUUCUGCUUCCCGGUGCUCUGGGCGGCACCAAAGAAAGGGGAACGGGAGCCGGAAGGACGGACGGAGCCGGGCCCCCGCGAGCCCGACCCUUCGCUCCCCCCCGCGCUUUUCUUUCCCUGUGGGUGGCCCUUCGGUUAACGUGACGGCGCGGCUCGGAGGCCGCCGCCACCGCCUUCCAAGGCAACGCGCUAGAGAAGAAGAGGGUGACCCAGACGGGGAGGGCAGCGAGGGGUACUGGCGCUCCAGCGAGAGGGCAGUACGAGGGCCCCCGAGGGAACCGCAGCGCUCCCCUGCUCGCUCUAUCGACCGUGUUUGGCCCCGCUGAGCCUCGCCGGCGUCUGGGUGUUUUUCAGACCCCUGGGUGGUGGUCUGCCGGAGCCGCUCGGCCUCGCACGGCAGAGAUCUCGGCCCCACGGCCCCUCGUGCGGACGAGCGAGAGGUGGGGGGAGCCGGCCCGCGCCCGGUCGGUCCCCGCCACCAAA